rnacentral:rRNA from 1 species
AGUCUUAGUGGCGCAGCUAACGCACUAAGUUGACCGCCUGGGGAGUACGGCCGCAAGGUUAAAACUCAAAUGAAUUGACGGGGGCCCGCACAAGCGGUGGAGCAUGUGGUUUAAUUCGACGCAACGCGAAGAACCUUACCUGGCCCUUGACAUGCAGAGAACUUUCCAGAGAUGGAUUGGUGCCUUCGGGAACUCUGACACAGGUGCUGCAUGGCCGUCGUCAGCUCGUGUCGUGAGAUGUUGGGUUAAGUCCCGUAACGAGCGCAACCCCUAUCCCUAGUUGCUAGCAGUUCGGCUGAGAACUCUAGGGAGACUGCCGGUGACAAACCGGAGGAAGGUGGGGAUGACGUCAGGUCAUCAUGGCCCUUACGGCCAGGGCUACACACGUGCUACAAUGGUGCGUACAGAGGGCUGCAAACCCGCGAGGGGGAGCUAAUCUCACAAAACGCAUCGUAGUCCGGAUCGGAGUCUGCAACUCGACUCCGUGAAGUCGGAAUCGCUAGUAAUCGCGAAUCAGAAUGUCGCGGUGAAUACGUUCCCGGGCCUUGUACACACCGCCCGUCACACCAUGGGAGUGGAUUGCACCAGAAGUGGUUAGUCUAACGUCGGAGGACG